AAGGUUCUGCAUCCACUGGGGCCCCCAAACCAUUUGCACAGAUCAUUUUGCCCGUGGCUAGGUCUGGACUUCAUAAGAAGCUUCUUCUGGGGUAGGUGAGGGUGGAUGACCAGGACUCCACCACCCUACCCAGUCCUCCAUUUCUAUUUGGCUUCCCCAGGCUCCCUCAACCUCCUGGUGCGGUCCCGGAACAAAGGGGC
rnacentral:sRNA from 1 species